rnacentral:rRNA from 1 species
AUUGAACGCUGGCGGCAUGCCUAACACAUGCAAGUCGAACGGUAACAGGCCUUCGGGCGCUGACGAGUGGCGGACGGGUGAGUAAUGCAUAGGAAUUUGCCUUGAAGUGGGGGAUAGCCCGGAGAAAUCCGGAUUAAUACCGCAUAUGCUCUACGGAGCAAAGUGGGCCUCUGAUUUAAGCUCACGCUUUGAGAUAAGCCUAUGUCGGAUUAGCUAGUUGGUAGGGUAAAGGCCUACCAAGGCGACGAUCCGUAGCUGGUUUGAGAGGAUGAUCAGCCACACUGGGACUGAGACACGGCCCAGACUCCUACGGGAGGCAGCAGUGGGGAAUAUUGGACAAUGGGCGCAAGCCUGAUCCAGCAAUGCCGCGUGUGUGAAGAAGGCCUGCGGGUUGUAAAGCACUUUUAUCGGGAAAGAAAUCCUUGGAGUUAAUACCUCCAGGGCUUGACGGUACCCGAGGAAUAAGCACCGGCUAACUCAGUGCCAGCAGCCGCGGUAAUACUGAGGGUGCAAGCGUUAAUCGGAAUUACUGGGCGUAAAGCGAGUGUAGGCGGCUUCGUAAGUCGGAUGUGAAAGCCCUGGGCUUA